rnacentral:RNase_P_RNA from 1 species
AGAGCAAAUCGGCUUAUCGCUUUUUAAAGAGGAAAGUCCGGGCAGCAUAGAGCGUCACACUUCUUAACGGGAAGGUCCUACUAUGUAGGAACAGAAAGUGCAACAGAAAAUAAACUUCCCAUAAUUUAUUGUGGGUAAUGGUGAAAAGGUGGGGUAAGAGCCUACCGCUUUUUUGGUGACAAAAAAGGCAAGGUAAACCUUGUGAGCUGAAAGACCAAGUAUAUCGGGAAUUGAGGGCUGCUCGCCUGAUCUCGAAGGGUAGGUCGUUUGAUCCUGGUUGUGAAGCUAGGGCAAGAUAAAUGAUAAGCGGCUGAUUUGUUAUUCAAGUCUGCUAACAGAACCCGGCUUAUGAUUUGCUCUUUUU